rnacentral:rRNA from 1 species
UACGGAAGGCAGCAGUGGGGAAUAUUGCACAAUGGGCGAAAGCCUGAUGCAGCUAUGCCGCGUGUAUAAAGAAGGCCUUAGGGUUGUAAAGUACUUUCAUCGGGGAGGAAAAAACAAAACUAAUAAUUUUAUUUCUUGACGUUACCCGAAAAAGAAGCACCGGCUAACUCCGUGCCAGCAGCCGCGGUAAUACGGAGGGUGCUAGCGUUAAUCAGAAUUACUGGGCGUAAAGAGCACGUAGGUGGUUUUUUUAAGUCAGAUGUGAAAUCCCUGGGCUUAACCUAGGAACUGCAUUUUGAAACUGAAAUACUAGAGUAUCGUAGAGGGAGGUAGAAUUCUAGGUGUAGCGGUGAAAUGCGUAGAUAUCUGGAGGAAUACCUGUGGCGAAAGCGGCCUCCUAAACGAAUACUGACACUGAGGGUGCGAAAGCGUGGGGAGCAAACAGGGAUUAGAUACC